GGCCUCGUGACUUAAUGGAGAAGGCGUCUGACCUCGGAUCAGAAGGUUCCAGGUUCGAGUCCUGGCGGAGUCG
rnacentral:tRNA from 1 species